rnacentral:lncRNA from 1 species
GGCCACAACAACAGCAGCAGGCACAAGACAAGCUCUUUCACGUGGUUACUAUUGAUGCCCUUCAGGAAAUGGCCCCAGCCAUCGACUGGUUAUCCUGUUUACAAGCAAUAUUCACACCGAUGUCUUUGAGUCCCUCCCAGACCCUCCAAGUCCAUGACCUAGACUACUUGAGAAACAUGUCACAGCUGGUAGAAGAAGGGCUGCUGAAUCACAGUGAGAUAAUACAGAGCUACAUGAUCCUUGGGUUGGUGGAUACCCUUUCACCAGCACUGGCCACUAAAUUCCAGGAGGCACGCAGAGAACUGACUCAGAAACUACGGAAACUGAAAGAACGACCACCCCUGAGACAGAGUCUCACUAUGUAGCUGUGGCUGUACUGGAGGUCACUGUGUAGAUGAUGCUGGCUCAGAACUUACAGAGAUCUGCCUGCCUCUGUCUCCCAGGUGCUGAGAAUAAAGUGUGCACCACCACAUG